ensembl:lncRNA LAMTOR5-AS1 LAMTOR5 and SLC16A4 antisense RNA 1
AUGGAGAGCAGAGCGCAAAGAUUUCUUCCGGACUCCCACAUUCCCCUUGGAAUCCAAGAACUGGUCUACUGUCACAACACUUUAGUACCCUCUUCUCCCAAGGAGGCAGCAGAAACUGGGGUAAUCACAACGGUCAACAGCAGCAAAGGCAGCACUUUCUGAUUUACUUGACUGCUAUGGAUGCCACCUCUCUCCACGCCUCAGUUUAAUAUCUCCUGCAAGCCCCCUAUUCAAGACAUCCCACCCUUUUAAACUUAAGCCAAUGUGUAACCUCCUGGCAAUCAAUUUUGCAAUUUAUGAUUUUGCCUGUAGCUUCUGCUGUUCUGAAAUUUAUUCCUGCCUCUAAAAAUCCUUGCCGGCAAGCCACUGGGGAGGCUAGGUUUUGAGCACUUAGCUGUCUGGUCUUCCUUACUUAGUGCUCUGCAAUAAACACCUUCC